GAACAACUACAGCUUAUUGAACUUGUUUUGGUGAGUAGAAUCAUUACCUUCAGGCUUUUUGCUGAAAACACUAACUUUUGAGAGAAAAUGCAGUGUUUACAUUACAGCAGACUGCUUGUUUUUCUGAGUCUAACAGCAUGCAGAGUUAUAGCUUCAGGCUUGAAUACAGUAAGAUUUUUACUAUAUUUAUCGAGGCAUGAGGGGCCCAAGUGGGUUAGAUGGUGGUUUUAACACUAUAGGGUCAGGAAUGCAUGUUUGUGUUCCUGACCCUAUAGUGAUCCUUUAAUGAAGAUGUCACAUUAGAGGCAGCAGUCCUGGGGAUUAGCUGCAAAUCAUGGACUUUGGGAUGUGAUAAUUUGUUUGUUUGUUUUUAUGCAUUAUGUCCAUGAUAGAGUAAAGGCUUAUGACAUCAACCCAGAGAAUCGAACUCUACGCCCUAAUAUCAGGGUCAUUCGAUCUCAAUUUAUACAUAUUAUGCAGGUUAAGCAAGAAAAAGCAGAUAAGCUUCUCAUCUGCAUUCGUUGAAGACUGACGUUCAAACACCACUGCCCUGCUACAUUGUAAUUAAUAUAGUUAAAAUAUUGUUAAACCAUCACAUCCAUCACAAGGUAAAUAAGUCUGACUGACAAGGACAAGUCACGGUGACUAACAUUUUAUUUGUGUUACUUAUAAAAAAUUGAUGCACGAAUGAGACACACGAAAGGUCAAAGUAUAUUGUCUAAAAUAUACAUAAAGGGGAUACGGAAUCCUAACUAACAUUUUAGACAGCAUAGAAUUAUUCACAACAUUUUAGACAAAGAAGGAAGAGGUAAGUAAUUUAGUUGGAGAAUUUCACUAUAGCUGCUACAAAAAGAGUUCUGUUGUCAAUUUGCUAUUAGCCAGUCAGACUAAAAAAAAAUAUACAAGAGAUAGGUUCAUGUUCGGACAUGAGACAGUGUGAUAACCUAUACUAUAGCAGAGGCUUCCUUAGUAUCCCGGUAAGGCAGACCACUUUGCACACAGGGACAAGAGUGGAGACAGCACUAGAGCUACAAGAAGCCAGUGGGUACCUUGAUAAUGUAGGCUGGGUAAGAUGUAGAGAAUUUUAGGUAGAAAGCCUUCUCUAGAUGGGUAGAAGGUAUUGUAGUAAUACAUUUUUGCUACAAAUUAUCAUUUCUCAGAGGGCUGCUGAAGCCAACCAGGCCACUUUAUCAAUGUUUCCAACCCAAUGCUUCUCAUAGAGAAUGUGGAGUGAACACUGCACUUAUUAGAUCAAAUGCUUCUCAUAGGGAAGCAUUGAAUCCAAUACAAUGGAAUCUCGGAACUCGAACGUUCCUGUGCACGAACAAUUUGAACUAAAAGUUUGAGUAAAAAAGGUCUCGGUACGCAAAUGAUCUUUGGUACACGAACAUCAAAGAGCCGCUCACCGGAGCCAUGUGACUCCUCCAGCCAGCUCUCUCAUGGAGUUAAGAUGAGGCCCAGCUGUUACAGGAUGAGUGUGUUCUACUGACCUGCAGAGAGGUACCUACCUUGCUCCAUCCCUAGCACACUCUACCUACCUACACCACCCAGGGCACCUCCCUACCUACCUACACCACCCAGGGCAGCCCUCCAGCACGCAGAGCACACUCUACUAGCAUCCAGCAGCUCCCAAGACAGCCCGGUACAGCUGCCCCCCUUUGCUCCCUGCUGGCAGCCAGUCCUGGCAGAUAUGGGCAGACCAUCCUCAGUGGGGGCAAAAUACACCUUUACUUGGUAAAUGCCGGAUUGCUCUCCCUGGGAACUUAUCACCAAGAGGCAACAUGUUGCUCCGAAACGGCGUGCUGGGCUUCUCGCUGUACUUACUGCUUCUGUAGGAGACCCCGAGCAGGAGAAUCCCCGUGGACACCGGUCAGUGCACCUUCCCCAAAGAAGUAAGUACUGGAGCCAGACAGGCACGUGUGCAGUGUGUGUAUUAUGUCAGCUAUGUGUUUUUUACUAUGUCAGCUAUGUGUGUGUGCGUGUGUGUUUGUGCGCAAUGUCUGUUAUGUGUGUUCAGUGUGUGUACGAACAGUGGUCCCGUUUACAAUGUAAAAUGCUGUAAUUUUUGGGGUCUGGAACGCAUUCAUCAAAUUUACAUGCAUUCUUGAACGGAUUAAGUUCGAGUUCCGAGGUUUCACUGUACUUCCCUAUGAUCAGCAUUUGAUGACUCUUGCUAAUGUUUUUCUUUGCAGGGGUAAACACACCUCUAGUGGCUGCCUUCCUGACAGAGAGCAUUUUAUUGAAGCAGUGCGGUGAUUAGCGUGCAUGUGCAGUAGCCUCCCAAUGCUAAGGAAAACAUUGGAUUGGCUGAGAUCAUCAAUCUUGAUGAUCCCAGCCAGGGAGGCAGGCAGGCACUGUGGCAACACGGAGACUGGCACAGUGAGGGCUGGAAGGUAAAUGAGGCUUUUUUCAUUGCAAGUGGGGGGCAGUGCAAGUGGGGGGCAGUCAACUAAAUAGUCAGUAGGACACUACAUUGUCAGGAAAAUAUGUUUGUAUUCCAAAUACUAUAGUGUUCCCCUUAAUAUCUGGGUUGCUUAGUUCAAGUUGAAAAUUUACAACUGACCUUUUUUUUUUUUCUUCAUACAUCUAAACCAAAGCGGCUCACAUAUAACUACACCCCUAACACAAGAAACCCAUAUUGACCUUUUAAAGGACCACUAUAGUGCCAGGAAAACAAACUCGUUUUCCUGCCACUAUAGUGCCCUGAGGGUGCCCCAACCCUCAGGGUCCCACUCCCAUGGCCCUGAAGGGGAAGGAAGGUGUUAAUCCCUUACCUUUUUUCCAGCGCCGGGCUCCCUCGGCGCUGGGACUCUCCUCCCUCUUCUGAGGGCACCGGCUGAAUGCGCAUGCGCGGCAAGAGCCAGUCUCAUAGGAAAGCAUUCUUAAUGCUUUCCUAUGGACGCUGGCGUCUUCUCACUGUGAAAAUCACAGUGAGAAGCGCGGAAGCGCCUCAAGCGGGUGUCAAUGAGACAGCCACUAGAGGCUGGAUUAACCCUAUUGUAAACAUAGCAGUUUCUCUGAAACUGCUAUGUUUACAGCAAAAAGGGUUAAACCUAGAUGGACCUGGCACCCAGACCACUUCAUUAAGCUGAAGUGGUCUGGGUGCCUAUAGUGGUCCUUUAAAACAUAUUAGUUAAAGCAUAUAUUUGUGUCCCAUGUCCCUUAACCUUGCAAUGGUAAUUACUGCAGCUUUUGCGAAACUGAAAUAAUUACAUUGCAGGGUUAACUCCACCUCUAGUGGCUGUUUACCAGACAGCCACUAGAGGGACUUGCGGGUGGUUAGGCGACUUUUGGUCGUCUAACUGACACUGGACGUCUUUACGCUAUGCAUGAAGACAUCUAGCGUCAUCCAGAAUCCCCACUUGAAAGCAUUAUACAAUGCUUUCCCAUGGGGGAAAUCCUAAUGAGAGCGUGGCGAGGAUUGGAGCUGGAGCCUGAACCAGCGCCAAGGGACAUUGGUGCUGGACUCAGGUAAGUGACAGAAGUGGUUUUUAGACACUAUAGUUUCCCUUUAGUUUUCCAACAUAUGCGCAAUUUCCUACAAGAUCAUCUAAGAGAACUAUCAUUGCUCAAUAUACAGUAUUAGGUCACCCUUACCGCAUAACCUCAGUAGAUAAAUCACAACUUUUCAGGGGACAAUAUCCUUGUUCCACUGAAAGUGUAUAAAAGGAACCUUCUUACUCAGACCUUCUUUCUAACCAAUCGAUCAGGUAUAUGUUUCUAAUCUGUAAGUGACUGCCAAGAAAGAUCGACCAGGACAACAAUUGACCCGUACCACUUUAAAAUGUCUUCUACUGCUACAAACCUUAGCAGAAAUCUCCUUUUGUAUGGAGUUAAUCCAUCUAUCGAAAAUAUCACGAUCUUAAAGAAGUGGACGACUAACCACUGUAAAAUUACACUUUGGUCCAUGGUGGAAUAAUAUUGACCACAAAUGUGUGCACUGACUUAUGUUAUUCCCCUCUUUGUGGUUGUUCUCAGUUCCUUAUUUAUAAAAAUGUUUGUAAAAACAAAGAAAUGGAAACAAGUAACACAUGAGAUUCCAUUCCUGGCGUUCAGAUGAUGCAAUCAGUGCUUUAGUUAUGUUGACGUUUUCCACUGUACUAGCUGAUAUCUGACCUCCUACCUAAGCCCUGGAGGGCAUGUUUGUACACUUGUGUUUUGAAAGUUCUUGUACAUUCAUGCGAAAGCAGAAUUAUGCCCAUAUGUUAAAGUUAUGAAUAUUUAUACGUGUUCCAAUUCAUUUACCUAGAACUGUUUUCAAUCAAUCCCGUGUUAUAAGUUAGAAAAAGUGACAGGCAGUGAUUCAAACUGGGAACAUGGAAAUAACUAUACAUCUCAUACAGUAAUGUGAUCAUAUUCAUGACAUGUUCUAGAGAGCCUAUUAGAGCUAAUAAGGACCUGUAUGAAAACAUACUGGGAUACCUUGAUAUGUGCAAUUGGCUCCCCUGCCCUGUUCUAACUGCACUCGACGCUUAGACAUGUAGUAAUGUGCAAAAAUGUUUGCAGCUGUAAAAUCAUCCCCUGUUCCAGCAUUGUAAGUCCUUGCGUAGUGUGUUUAUGAACAAUGUAUGCAAGAAAUAUAGGCCCACAGUAUCUGUGACAGCUCCCUCACAGACUUCUAUGAGAGAACCCGCGCCAUGGACAAAGGUAGCUCCAUUUUGCUUAAAGGGACACUAUAGGGCAGCAGUGACCUUCAGCAUCUCCACGCUCUGCUUAAAAGUAAGGAGAGGGGAGCCUAAACUGUGCUAUAUAUGUUUGUAUUCCUGACAUUAUUGUAUUCCUUUAACCCCUUAAAGACACGACAUGUGUGACAUGUCAUGAUUCCCUUUUAUUCCAGAAGUUUGGUCCUUAAGGGGUUAAAGCAGGAGAACCAUGGAGAGCCAGCCCUGCUGUCUGCCUUUUUUGGGCCGGUGGGGAGAUCAAACAUCUCCCUCUCUGGUCUCCGGGCAGUGUGUUAAGGGAGAGGGAGGGAGCUAGGACUCAGAAGCCUGCUGGAUAGGAGGAGGACCCAGGAGGCUGUGAUCCUCCCGCGAGCAUGCAGGUAGGAGCGUUGCCGCACGUUACCAUGGCAACGCUCCAACAGCGCUGUGCUCGCUGGAAGAAAAUAGUGAAGUCAGCCUGCAGUGGGAGGAGCUGCAGGCUAAGGUGCAUGCAAAACCACUGAACUACCAGGGAUUGCAGUGAUAUGUCCUAUCCUUCCAGGCCAGAGGUAGGAAGGAGGGGGGUGCAUACUUUUUUUCCCUCUUUUUAAGUAAAACAUUUUAUAAAAUAGAUUCUCUCCCUGAUCCCCCUCCCCACCACACUAUAGACCACUGACACACUACACCACCUUACACGCAUACUGCACUCCCCCCCACACACAGAACCCCUCACACAAACACACUACAUCCCCUCACACAAACACACUGCACCCCCCCACACACACAGAACCCCUCAAACAAACACACUGCACCCCCCACACACAGAACCCCUCACACAGACAAAUAACCCCUCACACACAAACACACUGCACCCCCUCACACACUACACCCCCUCACACACAUAAAAACAUAACACCCCUCACACACACCCAAAUCCUCACACAAACACAUAACUCCUCACACAAACAAACUGCACCCCUCACACGCAUACUGGACCCCUCUCACAAACACAGCAUCCCUCACACAGACACCCACUAUACCCCUCACACACACACACACCACACACACACAGAACCCCUCACACUCACUGCACCCCCUCACAUACACACUGCACCCAUCACAUGCACUCUGGACCCCUCUCACAAACACAGCAUCCCUCACACAAACACACUACACCCCCCAGACACAGAACCCCUAACACACACAGAAUAACUCACACAAAAAACCUGCACCCCCCUCACACACACACUGCACCACUCACACACAAACACUGCACCACACACUCUGCACCCUUCACACACACACACACACACUGCAAGUAGCAACAUCAUAUCAAUACCAGUUAACAUCACACCAAAGAGAAUCAGUUCCAGCCAUCACAUUAGGAGUUAGUUAAUUAAAUGUUUGACCAAAUACAGCAGGCUAAUUUUUAAGUUGAUAAUUUUGUAUGGCUCGUGAAUGAUGUUUUCAAAUAUCCAAAUGGUCCCCUGCUUUAAAAAAUUACUCCAAGCACCCUAACCAUGUUAGUAAUUUGAAGUGGUCGUGGUAUUUAAGUAAAGUCUGUGCAGCAUUUCAUGGAGAAGCACAGCACAUAAAAAGUUAAAGCACAUAGCUGCUGGAAGUGAAAACAUCAUUACUUUUGUUCCAGGCUGGCUAAUGUCAAUUAUGUACACAGUGGGCAUCUCUCUUUCAUCAGCACGCAUAGCAUGCUGAGAACACAUGACCAGUAGCAGCAUCCCACCCCCGGUCGCACCAGUCCUCCCCUUCCCAUCAGUCCAUCCCCAGGGAUGUCCAAGGGCCCCAAGGGAGCGAUGUCACUGGAGAAGGAUAGGGCUAAGGAUCUACAUUUGCAUUGAUUGCCCUGGCUAUGCCGUGUCUGUAGUGGAUUAUGAUGUAAUUUGAUGCAUUUUUGAUAAAAAAAUAAAUAAAUAAAUAAAAACCAAAAAACAGAGCAUCUCAUGGAAAAAUGUUGACCGUGAUGGAGUGGUGAGACAUGCCAGCAAUGGUUACCUCAUCUUAAACAAUCUUUUAUUAAAUAUUGUGUAUUGGUUGGAGUAACCUAUUCAGAUAUAAAGAAUGUCAAACCGUCAGAAGCCCCAUCAGCUGUGCAAGAUCAUUCACAUCUUUUCCUUGAUUUAAACAGUUUUUUGUUUUUUUUUACCAUUACGUUUACAUAUCCCUAUAUUUAACAAAUAUGUAUUUGUGAUGUGUGAAAAAUAAAAUUAAGUGUAGAAAAUCACUCAUCGGGGGGCGGAGCUUGACCGCCAUGCAGACAUGUCGCAGCUACCCGGAGCUCCGAUCAAGAGGCCGACAAAUACACCCAACUUGCGGCAAUCCAGCCAAGUUAAAUGGGUACCUCAACUACCCACCCCACGGAGCACCCAGUGGGCAAAGGCACUAUGCACCAUCCGGGCGCACUUACUGAGGCAGGUCGGACUUGGGGCCUAGCAGUUGAUGCGGGGCGGGAGAUGCGGCCGGUCUCCCAGCCCUGAAGUCCUGCAGGACACCGCUUAUCCCGCCCCUCCCCCCCCCCAUGGACCGGCGUGGGUCAUCCCGGUCCACCACGGCAUCCACACAGCCCAGCGUCUGCACACACAGGCCCUACCAGACAGGCAAGGACGGGAGGCUGCAGAGAAAAUCCGCUCACCUAAGAUUGCGGCAGCCACAUGCAAAGCGGGUCCCAUAUACCGCAGAGAGAAGCUGAUGACAUACCUGGAUCGGCUCUAUACAGCACUGAACGGCAGGAGCUGGAGAGCUCAGAAGCAACACCACUACAACAGCAGACCCCAUGGGGGCGAAAGCAGGAGGGAGAACCCCCUUCUCACUCACGGAAGGGAGAACAUCCCAAGUGUUGGGGCAAGCGCCGCUCACGAAACCGGGUCCAAAAAGCCAACACACAGAACCAGCUGUCACACACCAACCCCAAUUCAGACACAACCUAGGAUGGAAAGAUCCAGCCUCAAGAGGGGUGGAAAACGUGUACAGACCCUGGGACUAAAUGUAUUAUGAAGAGUGGUUUUUAUCUUAUGUUGCAAUCUCUCAGCCACAGUCCCCCCCACCCCUCCACCCCCUUAUUUUUGCUCUUACCGCCCAGGGCUCCCUGUAGUGCAGUAGAUAAGAACAAAAAUGUUGUUGUUUGCCAUGAAUCUUCUACCCCAGCUGUGAAGAUGUCUCAAAAUGCCUGUUCCUUAAUCUUGUCUCUAAGCUAACGCAUUAUAAGCAAAAUCUUACCUGCUACUUGUUUUGACACUAGCAUGUUCCACAAUCUAUCUUACACCUAUACUCACCAUGUCUGAUACAGCAUAACUCAAUAUUUCCCUCUCACUAUAAAGCCUGGGCAUGACAGAAUUCAACUGGACUCUAAACUAUGUUAUUAAAAAAAAAUGUGCAGCAUACUCAAAUGCCAUACAUAUGUUAAGCUUUGUCUAAUUGCCUGCUUGUCACUGCUGUUGGGGCAUUGACAGGAUGUCUGUGAAUCAAACGCACACAAAAAUAAAGAAUAAAAAAAAAGAAAAUCACUCAUCUUUAUGCUGUUACUGGACGCCUCCAUCUACGCUUCUGUCAAUCAUUGUUCUAAACUCAGUUAGCAUUGAGAAAUCAUACAAAAAAGGAGAAAUUAAACAAUUUCUAUUUCUUCUUUUUAUUUGCAAUGUUGGCACUGGCUUUUAAUUGUAUGAACUGUAUUAUGAUGUCAUUUGCUACAUUUUUAUAUAUUAUUUCAAAGAAAACAGCAUCUCAUAGAAAGGAAGCUAACACACAUUAGAGGUGAUUUUCCAUGUUUUAUUCAAUGGCAUAUAUUCCUCAGAAAUGACAGAUCCCCUAUAACAGGAGUGGGCAGCCUUUUAGUAUUACUGUGCCAAUAUAAGAUCUUUGAGUCCAUUGCCGUGCCGGUUCUAUUCUAAUAAAUUGAGAUGUGAAUGUUGCCGUAUUCUGUGCUAUUUAUGGGUGCUACAGUUUCUUUGUAUCCUUGUAGUUGUGAAUAUGUUGGGUUGUUAUAUUGUAGAUGUUCAUAAGUGUGUGACAUUGUGUAUGAUACUUAUAAAUGUGGGCCGUGUAUAGGGGCUGCUUAUGGAAUUGUGUGUGGAUAAUAUGUUACAUUGUGUGUUUAGUGUGUGUGUAUAUGUGUGAGGCUGCUUGUGGUAUUGCAUGUGAGAGGCUGCUUGUAGGGUUGUGUAUGUGUGGAUUGUCUUUGGUGUUGUGUCUGCUGAUGACUGUGUGUUUGUGUAUUGGUUGUUUGUAAUAUUUGUAUGAGGGGAAGGCUUAUUCUGCAGCUCUGUGUUUAUAUACUGUGGAGGGCUAGCCUGUGGUCUAGUGGGGACCAGAUUGGCCAGGUACUGGGGAGGAGCUGCGAUAACUGCUGCAGUUUGCUCUACUCCAGUGCAGAUUCCCAUCCACAAGUGCUGGGAUAAAGAGAUCUGAGAUCACUUCCUCUAAGUGCUCCAAUACGUAAAUUGAGGAUUGUCCCUCACCACCUGCAAUCAUCGCUCAGUUUGCACUAGCAGUUUUCUGACGUCUCACUUAAACUCCUGAUAGGCCAGAGCCCGUUUGUCUCUGGCAGCUUUGAGUGCUGUGCAUAGACACCUCAAGUGCUAGAGGUUGCUGACCUCUGCCCUGUAACAUCUAAAAGCAGGUUUCAGACUCUUCCUGAUUUUUGGAGAACAAGCUAAAGAAACUGAAAUAAAUACAUACACACAAUGCAUUCCUUUCAGUUUGUUUGAAAUAGCAAAAAGGUGCUUUGUGGUGGAGAUACAUUAUUGAUUAAUUUGUUACUUGGUGCACAAUUAUUUAGCAAAAAUAACGUAGCUUUUUUUUAUUUAGGUGCCUAAUUUUUAUGAUGCGGUGCUAUUUUUGGAAUAUAUUUACAUACGAUGGAACUGGAAAUGGGUAACGGGUGUAAGUGAACUGGAGAAGUUUAAUUUGUUUAUAUUAGAAUAAGUGAUACCUCAGAAAUUAUAUGGUAACCGUAUACAAAUAUGUACAAGCCCAAUACAAACUUAUGGGUCAGGUGACCUGUUAAUUAAAAGGACAUGACACCAUCAACUUUAAAUUAAGAAGAGAUAAAUUUACCAUAAGAAGAGGAAAGGUAUUCUACGAUUACGAACAAUAACACAUGUUUAUCUGCCUGGAGAUUUAAAUUUUUUUUUAUUUAUGCCUUAAAAAAAGUGUGGAUAGGAGAUAAUGGAGUUAAAAAACGGUACGCAGGCGGAGCCUAACUGCUGAGGCAAGCAGACACAAGACCCAAGAGCUCUGAGCAAAAACUGAGAAAAUACCCCAAAAAACGACUGAUAAUACCUCAAAAAACCGCUGACCACAGGCAGGAACACCUUAAGCCACCAUGGGAUGGAAAACCAAGAAACAAAUGCAAGAUACACCAGCCACAGGACUCACAAUAGGGGAAAUAUGGCGGCAGGCAUGUGGCCCGAGCAGAUCCAAUAUGGCGGCGCUCCACGGAGGCUGCACGGAUUUCUCAGAUCAUUAUUCAGGGGACGAAGAAACCCAGCAAAUCCAGGAAAGACCCUGAUGCCAAACUGGUGACUACUGGGGUACUGAAGUCCCUGCUAGCAGACCUACAGAAAAACAUCCUAGCGGAUGUCAUCGCACUAAGGGGAGAGCUGCAGGGCCUGACAGGCCGCAUCACAGCGCUAGAGGAAUCCUCCCAAGAACAGCAGCGCACCAUAACCUCGCUGCAGAACGACAUGCGGGACCUGCGCCGCCAAAAUGAGCUGUAUGAACGGCGCUUCGCAGCCCAGGAGGACACUAGACGAAGACUCAACAUAAAGGUCAGGGGGAUUUCGGAGGGGUUACCAGGGAAGGAUUUGCCGCGCACGAUCAAGCGCAUACUAACCACAACAUUACCCCCAGACCAAGCCAAUGCCAUCACACCUACAAAUCUCUUCCGAAUCCCAACACCCGAUGGGGCCCCAGACACGGUCUCAAAAGACACUAUCCUCACCUUUGGAAAUUGGUCAGACAAAUCGAAGGUCCUCUCAGCGGUCCGGGGUAAAGCCCCCGUUCAGUUUGAAAAAACAAAAUUGACCUUCUACGCCGACCUGUCCAUCGGAAACCUGGCACGGCGCAGGUCACUCUGGCCCCUCACCUCCACACUCCAGCUCAAUAACAAACCAUAUCGCUGGCGAUCCUCACACACGCUCCUAGUGCAACACGGUGAAACAACACACCAAAUCUACAGCAUACAAGAUGCAGAGGCUCUCCUACAAACCUUGGGAUUGUCACAGGACAUACUCUCCUGGGAGGGACCCUGUGCCCACGCCACCCUGACCCACAACUGGGACCCGGCAAGAAGUGCCCCGUUCAGACCACGGAGCACCACACCGAUAAACUACACCCCGGUUACCACAUAAAUGGAACUGAAGGGCACAGCCCCCAACCUCAGCAACACCAUAACAUGUCCACACCGUCCUACCGAGAAAUGGAGUACCACACCGGAACCUCUCUAAUGCCUCGCGAUACACCGGCUGGCGAGACCAACACCCAAGACCUAGAGAACUCUUUCCUUCUCUCAUGCUCUAUCUAACUCUCAUUACUUACGCCAGCUAAUGGAGCAAGACCUAAGCCUGGGGAACCCCGGGAGACUCCGAAGCUACGAAUAUCAUGCCUAAGAUAGUCCAUCUACAGCAUUAAGUAUAUAGUUAUUGCUCGUUUAAGUAUCAAAUAAUCUACUCAUUCAGCUUUUCAUACUUUUAAGUCACACAAUCACCAUUUGCUUUGGCUUGCUCUCUCCUGCCUCGCUUACAAGCGAAAAAAAAGGUCAGCAAUAGCUUAAAUAAAUCCCAGAUAUCCUGGCACAUAUGUAACAGUAAAGCGCAGUAGCUAUAUACACACUCUAAACCACGCUGACACUGCAUUCCAACAGCCACGCACAACACCCAGAAAGCCUAUGUACCCUCAAUAAGUCACUAGCCUGUGGAGUUGGGGCCUCCCAGCCUAAACACACACGGCACAGAGUACAUGGGCAACACAUCGCAACUAGAUAAAGCUACACUACAAAACUCAGUACGCGCCAACUCAGUACGCUUACACUAGCAUAGCAGACCUAGAAAAACUACACACCGAGCACCUCUCAUUUUACUAUAUUGUACCUUAACUUCAUCCCAACGACACAACUCUUUAGUUAAACUUAGAAAACUAUAAAAACUGGGCCAAAUAUCAGGUUACUGUUUACCGCCUGAGAAGCUGGUACUACGCCGAUGUGGCACCUACUGACAAUAGGUAACCCCUUGCAAGUUACAAAACGUACCUUAUGCCCACUGCAUACGUAUACCUUUACCGAUAUUACUUCCAUAAAACUCUUGAAAAUGAAUGCCGUAUACUUAGCAGUCGCAGUAAAGCUAUGAUCAAUGUACCUGGUUUAAAUAAGUUCCAUCAUAUCUAGUAUUGAUGAGUCACCAUUGAUUUAUUUCACUGUAUUUUAGUUAAUCCUACCUUAUCGAUUUAGCUAUCUAGUCAAGCAUGUUUAAAAACAUAAAACUGUGCAAAUUCUCACGCCACUGUUAAACUGUCGUGAAUUUUGAAAUACGCUGUUGUGGCGUCCGUUGAUACCCUGUACUCACCUGCACAACAAAAAUAAAGAAUAAAAAAAUAAAAAUAAAGUAUGGAUGAUUUUUUUUAGCGCAAUAUAUGAUAUAUAGGGAUAUGAGUAAACAAGGUUUGUUUUUUUACUUUUUUCUUUUUUUAAACAGGAAUGAAUAAACAACUGAACAUGAACGAAAAAGUAUUUUUUUUUUGUCAAUAUUCUAUCUAUCUUUCAAAAUGUUUUUAUCAAACAGGAAUAAUGUUUUCUUUAGAUUGAUGACGAUACAGCUGGUCAAAUAUAGAAGUCACUCAUCGUAGAACAAUUUCUGUUGCAGCUUUUAGUAACCAGACAAAUCACACACAUUUAAGAAAAUUGUAGUUCGGUGGUCCAUUCACAAUAGAUGAAAUUGCACUCGAGAUGAAGAUUUUGAAAUGAAACAAUUACAACGAAAGGAAAGGUAUUUAAAACACAUAACAAAACUAAAUAUGCUGAACAUAGCUGCAAAAUAGCAGUGUCCAUAAUAAGAUCUGACCUGAAAGACACAAGAAAAAGAGAAUAAAAUGACUGAACACAAGUCUCUCACUAAUUUUCAGUUGACGAUAAAAAGGAAAAAGCCUUUUCUAAAUUCUUACCCAUAUUUCAAAUGUAUAUUUGAAAAAUCAUGUAUAAACAACAUGAUAAGAAGGACAGAAUACCCUGGAAAUAUUCUGUUACUCGGCCAUAUGAGAUCUGAAUGGAAAUUAAUAAAUAAAUGUAAUACUUGGUUGGACAUAAGGAAUGCAAAACACACUUCAUUGCAUUGUAAGAGCUUUAAGUGUUGUUCAGAUGACCAAAUUGUCGAUCUUAUAGUACUAGAAAAACUUGUAUAAAUUGACUCCCACUGUAAAAUAAAGUGUUAUAGAUUGUUCUGUAUCCACGCAGAUUGAAUGAGUUCUCACAAUUUGUAUCGAGUGUGUUGUAACUGUGUUUUUUAAAUCACAUUUUUAUAUCACAGGACAAUGUCGUGAAACGAAACACAGAGGGAAUAUGCGGAAUGUGUGUCAGAGGGUAGAGAGAAUGAGGAGAAGAGGAAACUGGAG
rnacentral:lncRNA from 1 species